CGGACCAGGCUUCAUUCCC
rnacentral:ncRNA from 2 species